ensembl:misc_RNA
CUGACACACUUGCACACUGAAGUCCCAUGUUUAGCAACAGAACAGCUACAGUACAGGCUGCUGCAGUGCAAGUUUCCGCCACAUUACCCCACCUCUCGCCCCUUCAGGGCAGGAGUAAGUUUGGUCUCAGUAACAGAGCCGGUCAAAUUUGUUAUCAA